UCGAGCGGACAGAUGGGAGCUUGCUCCCUGAUGUUAGCGGCGGACGGGUGAGUAACACGUGGGUAACCUGCCUGUAAGACUGGGAUAACUCCGGGAAACCGGGGCUAAUACCGGAUGCUUGUUUGAACCGCAUGGUUCAAACAUAAAAGGUGGCUUCGGCUACCACUUACAGAUGGACCCGCGGCGCAUUAGCUAGUUGGUGAGGUAAUGGCUCACCAAGGCAACGAUGCGUAGCCGACCUGAGAGGGUGAUCGGCCACACUGGGACUGAGACACGGCCCAGACUCCUACGGGAGGCAGCAGUAGGGAAUCUUCCGCAAUGGACGAAAGUCUGACGGAGCAACGCCGCGUGAGUGAUGAAGGUUUUCGGAUCGUAAAGCUCUGUUGUUAGGGAAGAACAAGUACCGUUCGAAUAGGGCGGUACCUUGACGGUACCUAACCAGAAAGCCACGGCUAACUACGUGCCAGCAGCCGCGGUAAUACGUAGGUGGCAAGCGUUGUCCGGAAUUAUUGGGCGUAAAGGGCUCGCAGG
rnacentral:rRNA from 1 species